rnacentral:misc_RNA from 1 species
GAUGAAGAACGCAGCGAAAUGCGACAAGUAAUGUGAAUUGCAGAAUUCAGUGAAUCAUCGAAUCUUUGAACGCACAUUGCGCCCGCCAGUAUUCUGGCGGGCAUGCCUGUUCGAGCGUCAUUUCAACCAUCAAGCCCCGGGCUUGUGUUGGGGACCUGCGGCUGCCGCAGGCCCUGAAAUGCAGUGGCGGGCUCGCUGUCACUCCGAGCGUAGUAGUUACAUCUCGCUCUGGGCGUGCUGCGGGUUCCGGCCGUUAAAAGCCUUAUUUACCCAAGGUUGACCUCGGAUCAGGUAGGAAGACCCGCUGAACUUAAGCAUAUCAAUAGCGGAGGA